UACUCCUACGGGAGGCAGCAGUAGGGAAUCUUCGGCAAUGGACGAAAGUCUGACCGAGCAACGCCGCGUGAGUGAAGAAGGUUUUCGGAUCGUAAAACUCUGUUGUUAGAGAAGAACAAGGAUGAGAGUAACUGUUCAUCCCUGACGGUAUCUACCA
rnacentral:rRNA from 1 species